AUGUGCCAUCCUGACAAGCCUUUUACUUCUGAUAAGCUCCGAUGUGUGUUUAAUGAAUACAAAGCCGCGGUCUGGGUGCCGCCUCGGCUGCGGCCGCUCUCCUGCGCUCCUUUGCCAGAAGAUCGGACUGAGAAGCACUCCACGAUGCCAGACUCACCUGUGGAUGUGAAGACCCCGUCUAGGCUGACUCCUCCUACCAUGCCACCUCCCCCCACAACUCAAGGAGCUCCGAGAACGAGUUCAUUUACACCGACGACUUUAACUAAUGGCACGAGCCAUUCACCCACAGCCUUGAAUGGCGCCCCCUCGCCGCCCAAUGGCUUUAGCAAUGGGCCUUCCUCUUCUUCCUCCUCUUCUCUGGCUAAUCAACAGCUGCCCCCAGCCUGUGGCGCCAGGCAGCUCAGUAAGCUGAAACGGUUCCUUACUACCCUGCAGCAGUUUGGCAAUGACAUUUCUCCAGAGAUAGGAGAGAGAGUCCGCACCCUCGUACUAGGACUGGUGAACUCUACUUUGACAAUUGAAGAAUUUCAUUCCAAACUGCAAGAAGCUACUAACUUCCCACUGCGACCUUUUGUCAUCCCAUUUCUGAAGGCCAACCUGCCCCUGCUGCAGCGCGAGCUCCUCCACUGCGCAAGGCUGGCCAAACAGAACCCUGCCCAGUACCUCGCCCAGCAUGAACAGCUGCUUCUGGAUGCCAGCACCACCUCACCUGUUGACUCCUCAGAGCUGCUUCUCGAUGUGAACGAAAACGGGAAGAGGCGAACUCCAGACAGAACCAAAGAAAAUGGCUUUGACAGAGAGCCUUUGCACUCAGAACAUCCAAGCAAGCGACCAUGCACUAUUAGCCCAGGCCAGCGGUACAGUCCAAAUAACGGCUUAUCCUACCAGCCCAAUGGCCUGCCUCACCCCACCCCACCUCCACCUCAGCAUUACCGUUUGGAUGAUAUGGCCAUUGCCCACCACUACAGGGACUCCUAUCGACACCCCAGCCACAGGGACCUCAGGGACAGAAACAGACCUAUGGGGUUGCAUGGCACACGUCAAGAAGAAAUGAUUGAUCACAGACUAACAGACAGAGAAUGGGCAGAGGAAUGGAAACAUCUUGACCAUCUGCUGAACUGCAUCAUGGACAUGGUGGAGAAGACGCGGCGCUCCCUCACGGUGCUGCGGCGCUGCCAGGAGGCCGACCGCGAGGAGCUCAAUUACUGGAUCCGGCGCUACAGCGACGCCGAGGACCUGAAGAAAGGCGGCGGCGGUGGCGGCGGCCACUCCAGACAGCAGAGUCCGGUCAACCCGGACCCGGUUGCACUAGAUGCGCAUCGGGAAUUCCUUCACAGGCCUGCUUCUGGAUACGUGCCAGAGGAGAUCUGGAAGAAAGCUGAGGAGGCGGUCAACGAGGUGAAGCGCCAGGCGAUGACCGAGCUGCAGAAGGCCGUGUCCGAGGCCGAGCGGAAGGCCCACGACAUGAUCACCACCGAGCGCGCCAAGAUGGAGCGCACGGUGGCCGAGGCCAAGCGGCAGGCGGCGGAGGAUGCGCUGGCCGUCAUCAACCAGCAGGAGGAUUCGAGCGAGAGUUGCUGGAACUGCGGCCGCAAAGCUAGCGAGACGUGCAGCGGCUGUAACACGGCCCGGUACUGUGGCUCAUUUUGCCAGCACAAGGACUGGGAGAAGCACCACCACAUCUGCGGCCAGACCCUGCAGGCCCAGCAGCAGGGGGACACGCCCGCUGUCAGCUCCUCCGUCACGCCCAACAGCGGGGCCGGCAGCCCCAUGGACACACCACCAGCAGCCACCCCGAGGUCGACCACCCCGGGGACCCCCUCUACCAUAGAGACAACCCCUCGCUAG
rnacentral:lncRNA from 12 species